rnacentral:rRNA from 1 species
UUGAACGCUGGCGGCAUGCUUUACACAUGCAAGUCGAACGGUAACAGGUUAAGCUGACGAGUGGCGAACGGGUGAGUAAUGCAUCGGAACGUGCCCGAUCGUGGGGGAUAACGCAGCGAAAGCUGCGCUAAUACCGCAUACGAUCUGAGGAUGAAAGCGGGGGACCGUAAGGCCUCGCGCGAUCGGAGCGGCCGAUGUCAGAUUAGGUAGUUGGUGGGGUAAAGGCUCACCAAGCCGACGAUCUGUAGCUGGUCUGAGAGUACGACCAGCCACACUGGGACUGAGACACGGCCCAGACUCCUACGGGAGGCAGCAGUGGGGAAUUUUGGACAAUGGGCGAAAGCCUGAUCCAGCAAUGCCGCGUGCAGGACGAGGGCCUUCGGGUUGUAAACUGCUUUUGUACGGAACGAAACGGUCUCUUCUAAUACAAGGGGCUAAUGACGGUACCGUAAGAAUAAGCACCGGCUAACUACGU